AAUAUGAAGCAUCUCAUUCAAAAACAGAAGAUUUAGAAAAUCGUUCCAGGAGAGACAACUUAAGAAUCAUUGGUCUACCAGAAGACCAUGACAAAAGAAAAAGACUGGACACAAUACUACAGGAAAUUAUUCAAGAAAACUGCCCUGAUAUUCUAGAAUAAGAGGGAAAAGUGGAGAUUGGAAGAAUCCACAGAUCACCUCCUGUACUUAAUCCCCAACUGACAACACCCAGGAAUGCUAUAAUAGCAAAAUUCAAGAACUAUCAGCCCAAGGAAAAAAUAUCACAAGCUGCUAAGAAGAAGUCAUUCAGAUAUCAUGGAACCACAGUGAGGAUAACACAGGAUCUGGCUGCAUCUACACUGAAGGAUCGAAAGGCAUGGAAUAUGAUAUUCUGGAAAGCAAGGGAACUAGGACUACAACCAAGAAUCAACUACCCAGCAAAACUGACUAUAUUCUUACAGGGGAAAGUAUGGUCAUCAACCAAAUAGAAGAAUUCCAAGAAUUUUCAAAGAAAAGGCCAGACCUGAACAGAAAAUCUGAUGCCAAAGCACUCAAGAGAAUCAUCAAAAGCUGCACUCCUUCCUGAAGAAAACUCAAUUUAACAACAAUGCUGGUGACCAGGUGUUUGUGGAUGAGAGAAGAAGAUCUGAGGCUCAAAAUGCCAUUAUGAACUAUGUUCUUUCCGAAUGAGACUGAUGCUCUGGUAAAAGUAGGGCAGUUUGUCCCUAAAGCUCAAGUUGGUCAAGAUUUCACAAUCUGUGAGGAUGCCAUAGUGUGGGACUGGUGGGACUCAAAGGAGGAUCACAUAACAUUUGGGAAUAAAGAUGCAGCCCAGUAACCCAGCACUAGAGGCCAAGAUGGAGAAGAUCUCCACAGCCACCAUGGCUUUCCCUUUGGUGCUCUGAUAUGUGGGCAGAAAAGUGACCCAGACACUACAAAACACCAGCAUGCUGAAGGUGAUGAACUUGGCUUCAUUGAAGGUGUCAGGAAGGUUUCUGGCCAGGAAAGCUACAGUAAAGGUUGCCAAGGCUAGAAAUCCCAUGUAACCCAGGACACAAUAAAAGACAAAGACAGAGCCCUCAUUACAUCUAAUGAUUAUAUGAGCAUAUUCAGAGUGUGUGUCUGCCUCUGGAAAGGGGGGAGAGGUGCCUAGCCAGAUGCCACAGAAAAUCACUUGCAACCCUGAGCAGAUGAGGACAACAUAAACAGACACUCUAGGAUGUAUGAAGAUGCGUAUCCUGCUCCCUGGCCUGAUACCCCUGAAAGCCACAACCACUAUGAUAGUUUUGGCCAAAAUGGAGGAAACAGCCACUGUGAAGACAACUGCAAAUACUGUUUGUUGUAGGAGGCAGGUGGCAGUGGUAGGACGACCUAUGAAGAGCAGGGAGCAGAGGAAACAGAAGGUAAGAGAGAUGAGGAGAGUAUAGCUGAGAGUUCUGUUAUUGGCUUUGACUAUGGGGGUGUCCUGGAACUUCACAAAGACCCCCAG